rnacentral:rRNA from 1 species
CUACGUAGGGGGCGAGCGUUGUCCGGAAUGAUUGGGCGUAAAGGGCGCGUAGGCGGCCCGGUAAGUCUGGAGUGAAAGUCCUGUUUUUAAGAUGGGAAUUGCUUUGGAUACUGUCGGGCUUGAGUGCAGGAGAGGUAAGUGGAAUUCCCAGUGUAGCGGUGAAAUGCGUAGAGAUUGGGAGGAACACCAGUGGCGAAGGCGACUUACUGGACUGUAACUGGCGCUGAGGCGCGAAAGUGUGGGGAGCAAACAGGAUUAGAUACCCUGGUAGUCCACACUGUAAACGAUGAAUGCUAGGUGUAGGGGGUAUCGACCCCUUCUGUGCCGCAGUCAACACAAUAAGCAUUCCGCCUGGGGAGUACGGCCGCAAGGUUGAAACUCAAAUGAAUUGACGGGG